rnacentral:piRNA from 1 species
UAGGAAAGAAGUAAAGCCAUACUUGAAGGUC